AUUGAACGCUGGCGGCAUGCCUUACACAUGCAAGUCGAACGGUAACGGGCCUUCGGGUGCCGACGAGUGGCGAACGGGUGAGUAAUGUAUCGGAACGUACCUUUCAGUGGGGGAUAACGUAGCGAAAGUUACGCUAAUACCGCAUAUUCUGUGCGCAGGAAAGCGGGGGAUCGCAAGACCUCGCGCGAUUGGAGCGGCCGAUAUCAGAUUAGGUAGUUGGUGGGGUAAAAGCCUACCAAGCCUUCGAUCUGUAGCUGGUCUGAGAGGACGACCAGCCACACUGGAACUGAGACACGGUCCAGACUCCUACGGGAGGCAGCAGUGGGGAAUUUUGGACAAUGGGCGCAAGCCUGAUCCAGCAAUGCCGCGUGCAGGAUGAAGGCCUCGGUUGUAAC
rnacentral:rRNA from 1 species